GCCUGAGAGAAUCCAGACCUAUCUCCUCCUAUCUAAGGUAGCUAGCUGACCUUGAGGAAGCUCAGGCCCGUGGCCCCAGGGGGUGGUGGUGGGACCCGGGCCAGAUGGAAAGGUGCCACCACUCCCACUCCAUACUGCUCUCAAGUACCUGCGCUGAGGCAGACCUGCCCGGACAGUGCCAGCGACUGGCUGAGGCCAGCAGCUCUCCUCACCGGGGACUCCAUUGCAGACUGGAAGGGCUCUUGACAUUUGGGCUGGGACAGUUCUUUGGGUGUGGCUCUGCCUAGCCCUGUUCAGCAGAUAAUGACACCUCCUCCGGCCUAAUAAUUGAAAAGACUUCUUGCAGGGUGGGGCAGGGGAGAGGAUGCUGAUAAUGCCAGCACUUGAGAGGUCGAGGCUGGAGAAGUAUCAAGCUUCAGGCUGGCCAGAGCUACACAAUGGCCUUCAGAAGUCAACAGCCAAAGGGUCCCUGUCCUGGUGAGGAUGGGGGCAGGACUCCCAUCCAGACGCUCUAGGACCCUGCCACUGCAGACCCCUGGUGAGAUCCUAAUACAGUCCAUCCAGUGUCAGCUCGCUGAGAAUGGCCACGGAAGUGUAUCCUGUCUCAGGCAUUAUUCCCUUUUGUUGCCCCCUCAUGAGGUGGAGUUGGCCCAGGCUGCUUGUUGAAUGAAAUACAGUGAAAGCAAUA